rnacentral:ncRNA from 2 species
UUCGAUACGUGAUGGGCUGGUGCCUGCAGGUUUACGGGUGGAAUGGGAAUGCGACAGGGCUUCACAGCGGCCCGAGGCGCCCGCCCCCGCGACCGUGACCGGAGAGGGCGUUCACAAGCCACUGGUUCCGGGCCGGGGGACGGCAAGGCCAGGCGACUGGCCAAGGCCACCCCUCAGAUGCGCAAGCCGGUGGACCUGCCAGCGCGAAGACUCAAAC